rnacentral:rRNA from 5 species
AAAUUGAAGAGUUUGAUCAUGGCUCAGAUUGAACGCUGGCGGCAGGCCUAACACAUGCAAGUCGAACGGUAACAGGAAGCAGCUUGCUGCUUCGCUGACGAGUGGCGGACGGGUGAGUAAUGUCUGGGAAACUGCCUGAUGGAGGGGGAUAACUACUGGAAACGGUGGCUAAUACCGCAUAACGUCGCAAGACCAAAGAGGGGGACCUUCGGGCCUCUUGCCAUCAGAUGUGCCCAGAUGGGAUUAGCUAGUUGGUGAGGUAACGGCUCACCAAGGCGACGAUCCCUAGCUGGUCUGAGAGGAUGACCAGCCACACUGGAACUGAGACACGGUCCAGACUCCUACGGGAGGCAGCAGUGGGGAAUAUUGCACAAUGGGCGCAAGCCUGAUGCAGCCAUGCCGCGUGUAUGAAGAAGGCCUUCGGGUUGUAAAGUACUUUCAGCGGGGAGGAAGGUGUUGUGGUUAAUAACCGCAGCAAUUGACGUUACCCGCAGAAGAAGCACCGGCUAACUCCGUGCCAGCAGCCGCGGUAAUACGGAGGGUGCAAGCGUUAAUCGGAAUUACUGGGCGUAAAGCGCACGCAGGCGGUCUGUCAAGUCGGAUGUGAAAUCCCCGGGCUCAACCUGGGAACUGCAUUCGAAACUGGCAGGCUUGAGUCUUGUAGAGGGGGGUAGAAUUCCAGGUGUAGCGGUGAAAUGCGUAGAGAUCUGGAGGAAUACCGGUGGCGAAGGCGGCCCCCUGGACAAAGACUGACGCUCAGGUGCGAAAGCGUGGGGAGCAAACAGGAUUAGAUACCCUGGUAGUCCACGCCGUAAACGAUGUCUACUUGGAGGUUGUGCCCUUGAGGCGUGGCUUCCGGAGCUAACGCGUUAAGUAGACCGCCUGGGGAGUACGGCCGCAAGGUUAAAACUCAAAUGAAUUGACGGGGGCCCGCACAAGCGGUGGAGCAUGUGGUUUAAUUCGAUGCAACGCGAAGAACCUUACCUGGUCUUGACAUCCACAGAAGAAUCCAGAGAUGGAUUGGUGCCUUCGGGAACUGUGAGACAGGUGCUGCAUGGCUGUCGUCAGCUCGUGUUGUGAAAUGUUGGGUUAAGUCCCGCAACGAGCGCAACCCUUAUCCUUUGUUGCCAGCGAUUAGGUCGGGAACUCAAAGGAGACUGCCAGUGAUAAACUGGAGGAAGGUGGGGAUGACGUCAAGUCAUCAUGGCCCUUACGACCAGGGCUACACACGUGCUACAAUGGCGCAUACAAAGAGAAGCGACCUCGCGAGAGCAAGCGGACCUCAUAAAGUGCGUCGUAGUCCGGAUUGGAGUCUGCAACUCGACUCCAUGAAGUCGGAAUCGCUAGUAAUCGUGGAUCAGAAUGCCACGGUGAAUACGUUCCCGGGCCUUGUACACACCGCCCGUCACACCAUGGGAGUGGGUUGCAAAAGAAGUAGGUAGCUUAACCUUCGGGAGGGCGCUUACCACUUUGUGAUUCAUGACUGGGGUGAAGUCGUAACAAGGUAACCGUAGGGGAACCUGCGGUUGGAUCACCUCCUUACCUUAAAGAA